UACGUAGGGGGGCAAGCGUUUGUCCGGAAUCAUUGGGCGUAAAGAGCGUGUAGGCGGCCAGAUAAGUCCGCUGUGAAAUCUCGAGGCUCAACUUCGAGCUGUCGGUGGAAACUGUCUGGCUAGAGUCCGGAAGAGGAGAAUGGAAUUCCUGGUGUAGCGGUGAAAUGCGCAGAUAUCAGGAAGAACACCAGUGGCGAAGGCGGCUCACUGGUCCGGUACUGACGCUGAGGUGCGAAAGCGUGGGGGAGCAAACAGG
rnacentral:rRNA from 1 species